AACGCGUGGGUAACCUGCCUUAUACAGGGGGAUAACAGUCAGAAAUGGCUGCUAAUACCGCAUAAGCGCACAGAGCUGCAUGGCUCGGUGUGAAAAACUCCGGUGGUAUAAGAUGGACCCGCGUUGGAUUAGCUUGUUGGUGGGGUAACGGCCCACCAAGGCGACGAUCCAUAGCCGGCCUGAGAGGGUGAACGGCCACAUUGGGACUGAGACACGGCCCAGACUCCUACGGGAGGCAGCAGUGGGGAAUAUUGCACAAUGGGGGAAACCCUGAUGCAGCGACGCCGCGUGAAGGAAGAAGUAUCUCGGUAUGCAAACCUCUAUCAGCAGGGAAGAUAGUGACGGUACCUGACUAAGAAGCCCCGGCUAACUACGUGCCAGCAGCCGCGGUAAUACGUAGGGGGCAAGCGUUAUCCGGAUUUACUGGGUGUAAAGGGAGCGUAGACGGUGUGGCAAGUCUGAUGUGAAAGGCAUGGGCUCAACCUGUGGACUGCAUUGGAAACUGUCAUGCUUGAGUGCCGGAGGGGUAAGCGGAAUUCCUAGUGUAGCGGUGAAAUGCGUAGAUAUUAGGAGGAAC
rnacentral:rRNA from 1 species